GACGAACGCUGGCGGCGUGCUUAACACAUGCAAGUCGAACGAUGAAGCGGGUGCUUGCACUCGUGGAUUAGUGGCGAACGGGCGAGUAACACGUGAGUAACCUGUCCUUUUCUUUGGGAUAACGGCUGGAAACGGCUGCUAAUACUGGAUAUUCAGGCUGCAUCGCAUGGUGUGGUUUGGAAAGGUUUUUUCUGGGAUUGGGUGGGCUCGCGGCCUAUCAGCUUGUUGGUGGGGUGAUGGCUUACCAAGGCUUUGACGGGUAGCCGGCCUGAGAGGGUGGUCGGUCGCACUGGGACUGAGAUACGGCCCAGACUAGUACGGGAGGCAGCAGUGGGGAAUAUUGCACAAUGGACGAAAGUUUGAUGCAGCGACGCCGCGUGGAGGGUGUAGGCCUUCGGGUUGUGAACUCCUUUUUCUCGCGAAAAAGGCACAGUUUUGGCUGUGUUGAUGGUAGUGGGGGAAGAAGCGCCGGCUAACUACGUG
rnacentral:rRNA from 1 species